rnacentral:tRNA from 1 species
CAUUAGAUGACUGAAUUGCAAGUAUUGGUCUCUUAAACCAUAUUAUAGUAGUACGCAUCUACUUCUAAUG